rnacentral:lncRNA from 1 species
UUUAUGACCAUAAAAGGAAGGUUGGGAUUGAUUUUGGGAGUUUUGGUCCCAACAGUUUAGGAAUAAGGGGCCCAAAGGGUCCAAAAUUAAACUUUGUUUUGAUUUCAUCAAAAAUUGAAUAAUUGGGGUUCUUUGAUAUGCCGAAUCUAACUGUGUACGUAGAUUCUUAAUUUUUGGUCCCGUUUUCAAAUUGGUCUACAUUAAGGUCCAAAGGGUCCAAAAUUAAACUUAGUUUGAUUUUAACAAAAAUUGAAUCUUUGGGGUUCUUUGAUAUGCUGAAUCUAAAAAUGUACCUUAGAUUUUUAUUAUUGGCCCAGUUUUCAAGUUGGUCCAAAUUGGGGUCCAAAAUUAAACUUUGUUUGAUUUCAUCAAAAAUUGAAUAAUUGGGGUUCUUUGAUAUGCCAAAUCUAACUGUGUAUGUAGAUUCUUAAUUUUUGGUCCCGUUUUCAAAUUGGUCUACAUUAAAGUCCAAAGGAUCCAAAAUUAAACUAAGUUUGAUUUUAACAAAAAUUGAAUUCUUGGGCUUCUUUGAUAUGCUGAAUCUAAAC